rnacentral:rRNA from 1 species
GACGAACGCUGGCGGCGUGCUUAACACAUGCAAGUCGCACGAGGACGGGAGCUUGCUCCCGAGCCGAGUGGCGGACGGGUGAGUAACACGUGACCAACCUGUCCUAGGGUGAGGGACAACCUGGGAAACCCGGGCUAAUACCGCAUGAUGUCUCGAGGUCGCAUGGCCAUGAGAUCAAAGAGGGCCUCUGCUUGCAAGCUCUCGCCCUGGGAGGGGUUCGCGGCGUAUCAGCUAGUUGGUAGGGUAACGGCCUACCAAGGCUACGACGCGUAGCGGGCUCUGAGAGGACGACCCGCCUCAUUGGGCACUGAGAUACGGCCCAGACUCCUACGGGAGGCAGCAGUGGGGAAUAUUGCGCAAUGGACGAACGUCUGACGCAGCGACGCCGCGUGUGGGAGGAAGCUC